rnacentral:pre_miRNA from 1 species
CUAAUAUUCCCUCCGUCCGAAAAUACUUGUCAUCAAAAUGAAUAAAAAAAGAUGUAUCUAGAACUAAAAUACAUCUAGAUACAUCUUUUUUUAUCCAUUUUGAUGACAAGUAUUUUCGGACGGAGGGAGUAUGUA